rnacentral:rRNA from 1 species
AUUGAACGCUGGCGGCAGGCCUAACACAUGCAAGUCGAGCGGAUGACGGGAGCUUGCUCCUUGAUUCAGCGGCGGACGGGUGAGUAAUGCCUAGGAAUCUGCCUGGUAGUGGGGGACAACGUUUCGAAAGGAACGCUAAUACCGCAUACGUCCUACGGGAGAAAGCAGGGGACCUUCGGGCCUUGCGCUAUCAGAUGAGCCUAGGUCGGAUUAGCUAGUUGGUGGGGUAAUGGCUCACCAAGGCGACGAUCCGUAACUGGUCUGAGAGGAUGAGCAGUCACACUGGAACUGAGACACGGUCCAGACUCCUACGGGAGGCAGCAGUGGGGAAUAUUGGACAAUGGGCGAAAGCCUGAUCCGGCCAUGCCGCGUGUGUGAAGAAGGUCUUCGGAUUGUAAAGCACUUUAAGUUGGGAGGAAGGGCAGUAAGUUAAUACCUUGCUGUUUUGACGUUACCGACAGAAUAAGCACCGGCUAACUCUGUGCCAGCAGCCGCCGCCG